rnacentral:lncRNA from 1 species
AUGCGCCACACCCUCCACAGGCCAAGCGUCGCCUCCGCAAUUCCUUCCCUUCCAGAUGUGGACGCAUGGUUCCUGCCACGGACUCUCAAUAAAUGUCGCAUGCAUAGGUACAGGAACGGCCAAAGAGAUGGAUGGACAGAGGAGCCUGCAGGGUCUCACAAGCCGCAGGGAGGGGACUCCUUCCCAAGUGCUCAGUCACGGACAUCUGCUCUGCCGCGGUUGCCUUCGGGGAGGAAUAUUUUUAACACCGUGAUGCCACAAAAGGAAACUUCUGAAGCCUGGAUGGAAAUGGCCUCAGCGCUCCCAGGGCCGCAGUUUUCACAGAGGCACGUUCGGUGUGCCAGGCCGCCUCACCCAGACUUCCAUGUAAGCAGAAGGUCGAAAAUAACAACGGAGAGCACAGCAAAUGCUCGGCCGCCAGCCCGCCCCACUCACUUAACUGUUCUUCCCCACACCCCGGCCGAGGAUCCCCCAACCCAGACCCUUGUCAUGUCAGCGGAAGGAAUGGGAGAGGAGAACAAGAAAAACAAGGAUUGCUGUGGUUUGUUUAGUAGGAGAUUAGCGCGCUAGGAAGGCCGAGGGCUGAGAGGCUAAAGAGGGAGAUGUGUCUUGAGGGUCCGCGGGAUCAAUGGGAAAAGAGCAAGGAGCCAGAGAGACCCUUUACUCCAAAUUCCCUUCUCCUUUUCUACAGACAAGUUACCGAGGCCAAGAAGGGUAAAUAGACUUGCUCAGAGCCUUAGCGUUGCCACCUGGGUUGACUCAUCUGUUUUCAGCCAAAGAGUUUGUUUCGGUGAGAGCUGCUGUCUUAUUAGUUCAUCAGAUCGCCUUGGCAGACCCUUGACUGAAGCGUGACCUCUUUAUCUGGGAAGCCAGUUCUCUUUGACAGAGGGACACCAUGAAGCAAGGAGGAGAAAGGGGUCUUCUUUGGACCAGACCACCUGAUCA